AUAGUAACAGUUAACGAAGGAAAAGGAGAUUUUGAACUUGUGGAUCAAAGAAAUGAAAACCAACAAGAGCAGAGAAAAGAAGAUGACGAGGAAGAGGAACAAGGAGAAGAGGAGAUAAAUAAACAAGUGCAAAAUUACAAAGCUAAAUUAUCUUCAGGAGAUGUUUUUGUGAUUCCAGCAGGCCAUCCAGUUGCCGUAAAAGCUUCCUCAAAUCUUGAUUUGCUUGGGUUUGGUAUUAAUGCUGAGAACAAUCAGAGGAACUUUCUUGCAGGUAUAUUAUAUUAUCACCCAGUCUCUGUCACUAUUUAUUCAUUUUAAGUGUGUAUUUUAAAAGUCGACUUCUAUUUAAAUCAAGGGGAAAAUAUUAAGAUAUGCUUAUUAUUUUGGUGAUUAAAAAUUUGAAGGCGAUGAGGAUAAUGUGAUUAGUCAGAUACAGCGACCAGUGAAAGAGCUUGCAUUCCCUGGAUCAGCUCAAGAGGUUGAUAGGAUACUAGAGAAUCAGAAACAAUCCCACUUUGCAGAUGCUCAACCUCAACAAAGGGAGAGAGGAAGUCGUGAAACAAGAGAUCGUCUAUCUUCAGUUUGAAAUGUUUCUUAAUGAGUGGACAAAAUACUAUGUAUGUAUGCUAUCAAGAGAUAUAUCUCACGGGGAGCAAUGAAUAAAACAAUGUUAUCUUAUAACUAUAAUUAUAUAUCCACUUUUCUACUAUGAAUAAAUAAAUCAAGAGUAUUUUGGUGUUCCUCUUAGAUAUUAUAUUAUUUUAAGAAAGUCAAUAACUAAAAGUACAAAACACUCAUUAAAUUUAAACUAAUGUAAAGACUUAAUAUCUCAUAUCCAUGAUUCAUGAUAUACAAUCAUCAAUCAAUUAAUAGAAUUCAAAAGAAUAUAUUUGGGGUUGCUCUUGUAAGUUAGCAACAUUUAUACUUGGGGUUGGGGUACUAGAGAAAUUGGUCAAAAUAAAGAAAAAUAAAAAUAAAAUCUAGGUGUUAAGAAUGACUUCUUCAAAAAAAUUGUUAAAAAGAAAAGGAAUGCAAGCUAGUGGGAUACACUGACUCAUGUUGGUAUGGUGAUGCUGAUGAUAGAAAAUGUGUUUAUACUAUGUGGUGCACCAGUUGCUUAGAGCUCAUGAAAAGAACCAGUUGUAGCUCUGUCAUCAUGUGAGACUGAUUACAUAGUUGCCUUUCUUUGUGCAUGUCAAGCAACAUGAAUGGUAAAUUUGAUCGAAGAGAUUAUAGGUCAAAAUCAUGAAGCAGUAAUCAUGAAGAUUGAUAACAUUUUUGCUAUAAAUUUGUCCAAGAACCCAAUAUGAUACGGAAGAAGAAAACACAAUGAGAUGAGGUUCCAUUAUCUUAGAGAGAAAGUAUCAAAUGUGAAAUUUUGUUUCUCAUAGGACAGAUGUUGGACACGGUGUUGGGACAAUUGAUCCAACUUGUUAAAACCAUUAAGACAGUAAUAUAAUAACAACAGUAACACGAAUUGAGAAUUUCAAAAACAGAGAUCCAAGUAUAAAAAAAUACGAAAAAAUCAUGUGAAACCUAAAUGAAAGAAAGCGUAGGAAUAACUAGGGAUGGAGCCAGGAAUUCUAAAUAGUGUGGGCAAAUUUAUAAAUUUAUUACGAGAAAAGUAUAAUAUAUUAUUUAUAAAGAAAUAUUAUUUUAUUUUUUAAAGUUUUUUAAUGAUUUAAAAUUAUUAAUGGUUUCUUAAUUUUCUACUUAUAAUUAUAUAACAUAUUUUAUCCUCACCAAUCAAUUGAUAGUUCAUAGAUUAUUAACUUUUCUUUAAUUCUAAAAUUAUAGAAUUAAAAGGAUAAGAUAAUAAUAUCCAGACUAUUAAUUUUUUUUUAUCAAAAAUAGUAGAGACUAUUUUGGACUAAAUUUUGAAAUGAAGUAAGUAUUUAAUGAAAUAUACACCAUCAUUACUAUUACCACAUGAGUAGUAUAUUAUAAUUAAAAUUUUAAUUAUAGUGGGGCAUAGACCUACAUAGUUGUGUAUGUAGCUCCGUCUCUGUGAAUAACAUGUUUAUUUUUUAGAAAAAAGAAGAAGAAACAACAUUUAAAUACUUAGAUAAAGAAGAAACAACGUUUAAUUUGAAUACCUUUUAGUACAAAGAAGAAGAAAGACGAGUUGUAUGGAAGAAGAAGACAGACGAUUUCGUAGGAUGUGGAAGAGAGAGAGAGAUAUUAGGGUUUUGUAAUUUGAGCGAGAGGACUGAAGUUUGAUAACUUUGCUUAUAUAUAUGUAAAACUUAUCACCGUCGUUGGCAAGAAAAACCGUGAUAAACUGUCAGUACUAUCCACAAUGGUUCCUGGUACUAACCGGGGUGAUAAAUAUUCUAAUUUUAAUAUAUUUAUAAGACGAUAUGGACAAACUCUUUUUGUAACGAUAAAAAAAUUGUUUGUGCUGGGAUUCGAAGCAUGUAACCUUUCAUCUAUAAUCACAGUUGUUAUUAUGAACCGUGAAGAAAUGUCUUUUAAUAAAAUAUAAAAAAAUUCAGGUGCAUUAAGAUAAGUUAUUACAACGGUUGCUUAAACGGCCUUGGUAAUAUGGUGUUAAGAAAGGUAUAUUUUGUAGUAGUGUAUUUUCCCACGGUGGAUGCUACUUGUUGUAAAAUUGAAAGGUUCAACCACACCAUGAU
rnacentral:lncRNA from 1 species